rnacentral:lncRNA from 1 species
GUAUGGUGUGGAUUAAGAGCAUUAAUGGGCACUUCAAGUGGGUUCCUGUGUGGAAACCGCCCAAAGACAAGGCGUAUCCCAUAUGUGGAGAGGACCUAAAAGACAGAGAAAGGUGCAAGCUGCCUCCAUGGUGCCCUGGUGGUCAAGGCUUCUGCUGCCGCUACGAGUGCGUCUGUCCACCCCGAUAUAACCCUUGCCUGAUGUUGACGUCAACAACUACAGCCAGUACAACAACAAAAAGGCACCCGAUGCCCUCAACGCGCCAUCCUUUUCCCAUUCGCUAAGUACGAGUGCUGUUGAAUAAAAGCAACGGCGCUAAUC